rnacentral:rRNA from 1 species
CCAAUAGCGUAUAUUAAAGUUGUUGCAGUUAAAAAGCUCGUAGUUGAAUUUCGGGGCCAGUAGGUUGGUCGUGCCACUGGUAUGCACUGGCCCUACUGGUCCCUCCUUCUUGUAGAACCGUGAUGCCAUUAAUUUGGUGUUGCGGGGAAACAGGACUGUUACUUUGAAAAAAUUAGAGUGCUUAAAGCAGGCUCGCGCUUGAAUACAUUAGCAUGGAAUAACGGAAUAGGACGAUCGAACCUAUUUUGUUGGUUUCUAGGAUCGACGUAAUGAUUAAUAGGGAUAGUUGGGGGCAUUAGUAUUCAAUUGUCAGAGGUGAAAUUCUUGGAUUUAUUGAAGACUAACUACUGCGAAAGCAUUUGCCAAGGAUGUUUUCAUUAAUCAAGAACGAAAGUUAGGGGAUCGAAGACGAUCAGAUACCGUCGUAGUCUUAACCAUAAACUAUGCCGACUAGGGAUCGGAUGAAGUUAAUUUUUUAAUGACUCAUUCGGCGCCUUACG